rnacentral:rRNA from 1 species
UACGUAGGGGGCAAGCGUUGUCCGGAUUUAUUGGGCGUAAACAGCGUGUAGGCGGCUUUGCAGGUCCGCUGUGAAAACUCGAGGCUCAACCUCGAGCUGUCGGUGGAAACCGUAAAGCUAGAGUCCGGAAGAGGAGAGUGGAAUUCCCGGUGUAGCGGUGAAAUGCGCAGAUAUCGGGAAGAACACCCGUGGCGAAGGCGGCUCUCUGGGACGGUACUGACGCUGAGACGCGAAAGCGUGGGGAGCGAACAGG